rnacentral:lncRNA from 1 species
GGAGAAGAGGCAGGACAGUUGUCAAAAGUGGUCAGAGCACAGAAAAGUUGAUCAGCAAACCAGAUGCAUCUGACUCACCUGGAGAGAAUUCCAACACUGUCACAGCCAGUCCCCACCUCAGACCCCCGAAUCAGGAUCCACAGAGGUCAGCCCCAGCAUGUCCAUUUGGGGGAAAUAAGUGCCACGGUGAACCCGAAGACACAUGAUUAGGAAGCAGCGCUCUGAGGGAACAUGAAAAAGUCAAAAAGGAAGCCGACAGACAGAGAAUGUCCUGGGAUGACCUGGUGGUCAUCACCUUCAUUUUCAGAGUCUCACCCAACCCAUAACAGACUGCGCAGUACUUCAGCGUCGGCAAGCAGCGCCAGAACGCAUUCUGAACUGCCUGGCUGGGCCUAGUGUCUUGCAGAGCUGCAGCCUCCAUCUGAGAACUGAUGGUGGCCUCCCACCUACAAGGCUUUUCCUUCGGCAUGCUCAAAGCUGGCCCCCUCCAGACUCCAUCCACAACCCCCCUGCAGGGAGAGACUCCGGCCAUCCCUCCCACGGGCAAUGUCCAAGAGGCUGCAGCACCUUCCAGCCGUCAUAUCUCUAUGGGUAUUGGCCUUUCGUUUUGUCCUCUGCCACCUGCCCUGUGAACAUUCUGCAGUGACUUGAGCUGAGGGGAGCCCUUCCAGGCUUAGUCACACAGCCCAGGGAAGUCUGGAGGCCGAAUCAUAGGUCAGAGAGUGUCAGGGUUCCAGUCAUGCUGGGGCCAGCAGCACUCUCUGGAUAGAGAAAUUCAAGCUGCAGUUCCUUCUCCCCUCUGACCCUCAAUGUCUUUAUGAGUAAACGAGCUGGUUGCAUACUAUCUCCAAAAUCCCCCCAGCUGCGAGACUCCCUGUGAACUAUGGAAAACUGCAGUCUAAUUUCUUCAGUUGGCCUUUGGUCAUGCAAGUAACUGACCAACUCUUCAGUCAACUCUUCAGUCAACCUUUGGUUAUGCAGAGAGACAACAGAAACGACCCCUCAGGGAUUUCUAUGAUGUGUGGGAUGCAGCAGAUGCCAUGGGCCUAUCCAGAUGCCCCUCCCACCCAUGUGUCUGGAGCACAGCCCACCUUCUACCCUGAGGCCCAGAAGAGCAGCCCUCGCCAGCCUGCACUGCCUGCAGAGUUUUGGGCACAGGGCCAGUCCUGGCCAAUAGCACUAAUAGGAAUUCUGCCAUGGACUCCAAGGAAAAGAUUUUUUUCCCUACUGAUAAGAAAUGGCUGA